UGAAUAUAUCCAAAGAUAAAAAAGAGUUAGUAAAUGAAGGGUGGGAUGGGCCAUGAAUUACCAACUAAACCUAACCCAAGUUUUAAAACGUGGAUAAUGCGUUGCCGUUUUAGAUUAAUCCAUAUUUACUUUCCUUUUUCUGACCUUGAAAUACAAGCUACCCCUUCUUUUUCAAAACCCUAAUUCCCCUUUUCCCAUUCCAAUCACCGAUCUCGAUCGAUCAAUUCAUCAGAUCCACUUCGCUGCUUCCUCAGGAAUUAUGUCUUUUGUUCGGAAUUUUCAAGCUGAAGACUGUAAUUUAAACGGUGGUUAUCGGUCCACCUAUGAUGGAAACAACACUGAUAGGAAAAGAAGCCGAAACCAUUAUAAUCAGAGGAAUUAUAACAACUACUAUGACAAUCACAAUCAGGCCAACUUUGGCUACUAUGGUGGCAACUUCAACCAAUGCAAUGCUGACUAUUCUAAUUAUGCCAAUGUUGCCUCGUCAUCUCUGAAGAAGAGAAAAUAUUCAGCUCCUGUUCGUGGAGAAAGCCAGAAGUUCACUCUUCCAGCCACAGUCUAUGACAGUAUCCCUUCAUCCCGCAAUUUUCAAGCUUAUCCUGCAAGAUCCAUUGCUUAUAACUCUACCUCAGCUAGCCUGAAGCCCGAUUUCUCUAUAUUUGAUGAUGAUAAGCCUAUCUUUAUGUCAAGGGAUGAUAUUGAUAGAAACUCUCCAUCAAGAAAAGAUGGCAUUGAUGUGCUUCAUGAAACACACUUGCGGUAUUCUUAUUGUGCCUUCCUUCAGAAUCUCGGAACAAGGCUUGAGAUGCCUCAAACUACCAUUGGGACAUCCAUGGUUCUGUGCCACCGUUUUUUUGUUCGGCGAUCGCAUGCUUGCCAUGACAGAUUUUUGAUAGCUACUGCUGCUCUUUUUCUUGCUGGGAAGUCUGAAGAAUCUCCAUGCCCUUUGAAUAGCGUAUUGAGAACAUCCAGUGAACUCUUACACAAACAAGAUUUUGCUUUCUUAUCCUACUGGUUUCCUGUUGAUUGGUUUGAACAGUAUCGUGAACGGGUGCUUGAAGCUGAACAGUUGAUACUCACUACUCUAAAUUUUGAACUCGGUGUACAGCAUCCAUACGCACCUCUUACAUCUGUUCUGAACAAAUUAGGUCUUUCAAAGACCGUUUUGGUGAAUAUGGCGUUAAACUUGGUCAGUGAAGGGUAUCCCUUUUAUUGGUUCUGACUAGCCAGUUAUCUAACGAGUGACUUGAAUGAAAGCCUAGUCUAGGAAACAGAACAUGGGGCAUUGAGUGAUAAAUCUCAAGAAAUUAUCAUGUCUAGAGGUGUGGAGAUCUUGUCGAUAAGGAAGAUCCCUUGGCGGCCCUCCAAAAUUUUGGUCCAAAAUAAUGUUGAUUCACAGUAUUUUUCAAUAGCCCAACUUCUCUGUGUAGUUAUUUGUCAUGGGAUAUUGAUUGUUUUGGCAUGCAUAUAAUUGCAGGAUCUUCACAAGAUUAUCAUGCUGGCUUGUAUGAUAUUCUUAGCUGGCGGAUUGAUAUGCUGUUCUUGGAAAGUUUUGUUUUACAUGUGAAGUUGAAUUGCUGAUGUUAAUGGAUUGCUUUACCAUGAAUAUGACCCUAUUUUUCUUUGGGCUAAACUAGGAGCCCUAUGCCCCCAACAGAUAUUUUCUGUUAAACCCUCAUUGUGUUGUUGUUUGUGCUGAUUACAGUUGGCCAAACAGGGCUGACGACAAGCUUUAGUGACCUGGAUGACAUGAAGAUGAUAAAUAAUUUGUUUCAAAAGCCAACCAAAAAUAAGCUGACAGUAUGAAUUUCAAAUAUGGUUCCGGUCUAUGGUUGUCAUAAACGAGUUUUGGUUAUUCGUAACUCAUAACUCAUUAAUCAAAACCACUCCUUUCCACCAGAGUCAAUUUAUGUUGUGAAGCAGAGUUGUCAAUUGCGGUUUGCAGAAAGUAGCAGUUUGUUCAAAUUCCUCUAUGCUACUGUGCUAUCUUGCCGCUAUUUGACAAUGCUUUGUGCUAAAUAAUAGUGUGUUGUGGGACAAUUGAGAUUUGUUCAAAUUCUGCCACACAAUAGCACUACUAUUUGACAACAAUAGUAGGAAGGAAAAUGGGUUUUUAUUCUGCUUCAGGAAUGCUUUUUAUAUAAAAAUAAAAAUAGACCCUCUGCUGCCUGAUGGCUGUGUUUGUGUUUUUUUAAAAUAAAAUUGAAGGAAACUUUCUACUUCGGUCUAUAAAUUGAUUUGAUGGACAAAAUUGUUCCCGGGCAAAAAACUGGUUUAAUGUUGAACAGCUUGACCUUUAUUUUUUUUCCCUUUCAGAUGGUCCUGUUAAUGCCAUCUCUUACACUUUCCACCUGUUCAAAUAGUUGUUUCUUUGUUCAUUUACAUACUUGAUUUACUUUCAUUGGAAAAAACAAUUGAAUUAUUUUGAAUUCUGUUUUAACUUUAAACAUUACUAGGGAUUCAUUCUUGAUAGUUGGAUAUUGUUGUCCAUGUUUUUGAUAAUCCUCUGUUUGAAUUGAAGUUUUAAUAUGAAUGAUGUUGAAAAUCUGAAAUGCCACUUGGUUAAAUAUAGGUAACCGAAGUUUUAGCCAAAAUUAUGAAUGUUGUUGAAAAUCUGAAAUGCCAUUAGGUUAAAUAUAGGUAUUUUACAUUUGAUAGUAGAUGUCUGAAAGAUUAGAUGCUUGGCACUAUCAAUCAAUGAUUUGUGUCUUGGUAGUUUCCUGUGAUUGUGUCAUGAUCUUAUACUUAAUGUUAUGCUUUGUAGUCUUCCUCUUAGAUUUGAAAUUUGUUCAAAUUGUUCUGGGAACACAAUUGUGCUUCUGUUUUCAAAAGAAAAUCUGGUUGUGUCAAUAUCGUUAUUUCUUUGUUUUGGAUCAAUUAAUGUAUGCACUAUUUUUUUUUUUUUUACAGAAAAAAUCAUUUUAUAGGAAGGAAAAAAACCCAGGAAAUGCAUUUGUUAUUGAUUUGCCAUUGUGUCCAAUCCAUAAAUGUCGUAGCUGGUUUAUAUUAUUCACAUUAUCUUCCACAAUAUAUGUUGUCAGUCUUGUAAAUUCAAGCCUUAACUUGGAAACUGCUCACAUUUUCCUUUCAUCUCAUCAUUUGGCAUUUAGUGGUAGACAUGUAUUAUACUUCAAAUGAGUCAGCAUCAACAUGAAAUAUCAAUACUGGUGGUACCACACUGUUAUGCAUUUGUAUUGAGGGUCUAAUAAGUUGAAUAGUCGUGUAUAAAAAAUGAGUUUGCUCCCUUAUGAGUUCAAAUACUCAAAAUGUACUUAAAGAUCUUUGUUGGAUGGAUUGUGAACUGUGUGGCCUUCUUUACUCUCUUAUUCUGGGUUUGGCAAUGUAGAUUGUAACAUGAUUAUAUUGCUUGAGAGUAGUUUUGCACAGGUGCUACUAUGUUGUGAAUUGAUGCCCUUCUGAUCUCUACCCUUCUCUUGUAUUGGAUUUUAUUGAUAACAACUUGAACCUUCAAUGAACUCACUGGAUAUUAUAAUGUAUUGUAAUGUACUCCAUAAUUUUCAUGUGCUUUGGCAUUGAAUGAUAAGGAGGGUGGGAAAAGAGAAAUUUUUUGUCUGCCGUUCUAUUUAAUUGUUUUCCACCUCAGAAAGGGGAGUCUGUAUCUUAGAUGGAUGCAACAUGUGGUUUUUUAGCUCAGUUUGUACCUCCCCUGAUUUCAGAUCUGGAGGCUUUCUUGUGGCGGUGUUCUGUUGCCACAAAACGGAUCUCUCUACUGUUGAACCUAAUAAAAGUGGUAGGGGAAUAUGGGGAAGUUUUAAGAUCAUUCUAAAACUGAACUUGAAAAAUUGUCCUCGUGUCUUUCAUAUAUACUUCGUAAUCAAGUCAUCUAGAGGGUUUUUGCUUCAGUAUUUUCCUUUUGGGCAUAGACAGUUCAAUUUCUCCUAUUCCCACACAGUGGUUGGAUUUUGGGUUAUUCUGUUGUGUGUGGAAUAAGUUGCAUUCAUUAUAAGUAUCCCAAUGUACAUGGUAGCAAGGCUCUCCAAGAAAAAAUCUUGACAAGAGGUGGCAUUGGCCUUAGCUUCGAAAAUUCAUUUGUUUGGAAUGAGCAGCCCUCAAUGCAUGCUUUCUUAUAUUUUCAUUGCAUAAGUUUCUGGAGUUUAGAGCCUCCCACAGCAGAGUUGGGUCUGGAAGUCUGAUAAGUUCUCUAAAUGUGUGUAAGAUAGUGCUAAUAGUUUGGUACUCUUAUCAACAAUCCUACACAGAUUCUUGGCAUAGUAUUCUUCCUGAGUUGCUGCUAUUAUAGUUGGUAAGGAACAUGGUAUGAAUGUUGAAUACAAUUCACAAUUUUUAGUUCAUAUUACUGUUCAUUAUGAUAGCUGACAUGAUCAGCCAUGGUUGCAACAUAUGCUUUAGUUGUCCGAGAGAAUCUUCUUUUAGUGUUGCCUCGAAUGGUUAGUUUGUGUACUUAUGUAUGUAUCAUUGUCUCUGUUUGUGUUUAGCAAUGUUAGUGGUAUUGAUGUGUUUCCUUGCUGAAGCUGAUUUUUUUUUUUUUGCAGGCUUCGUAGCUCUCUUUGGCUUCAAUUUAAACCUCAUCAAAUUGCUGCUGGAGCUGCUUACCUUGCUGCCAAGUUUUUGAACAUGGACCUUGCUGCCUAUAAGAAUAUCUGGCAAGAGUUUCAGGCAACCCCAUCUGUUCUUCAAGAUGUCUCUCAGCAGUUAAUGGAGCUCUUUUAGAAGAUAGAAGAAAUGCUGUAUACCAUGAUUUCAGUAUAGAGUAGAUUUUAAAUACUUAACAUACUUGAGAAGUAGAAUUACUACAGGUCAUCAGUGUUGUUUCUGGUGUUUGGAUCCUACCCGUGCAUGCACAUAAAAGAGUUUGAAACUUGGAAUAUGCGAUUAUUUGGUUUGGAUGUUAAUUUUGUUGUUUGUCUAGGCGUCAUUGGAAAUAAGAUAAUUAAUUUUUUUAUGUUUGUCUUGGCAUAAUUGAAAAUAAUUUGAAGCUUCGAAUAUGCGAUUAUUGGAAUGAUUGGUUGAAGCUAAGGUGUCAACCAUUAACCUUGUA